rnacentral:rRNA from 1 species
AUUGAACGCUGGCGGCAGGCUUAACACAUGCAAGUAGAGCGAGCGGCGGACGGGUGAGUAAUGUCUGGGAAACUGCCUGAUGGAGGGGGAUAACUACUGGCAACGGUAGCUAAUACCGCAUACCAUCAGAUGUGCCCAGAGGGGAUUAGCUAGUAGGUGGGGUAAUGGCUCACCUAGGCGACGAUCCCUAGCUGGUCUGAGAGGAUGACCAGCCACACUGGAACUAGGACACGUUCCAGACUCAUACGGAAGGCAGCGGUGGGGAAUAUUGCACAAUCGGCGAAAGCCUGCUGCAGCCAUGCCGCGUGUGUGAAGAAGGCCUUCGGGUUGUAAAGCACUUGCAGCGAGGAGGCGUUACUCGCAGAAGAAUCACCGGCUAACUCCGUGCCAGCAGCCGCGGUAAUUC